GAUCCGGGGAAAGUUCAUGCUGUUCCUUGCCAGCAGAAUGAGUCCCCAAGGUGCCGACGGCAUCGCUGGCCAAAACGGACCUGCUUUCCCAAAGCUAGAAAGCAAGGGCUGGGGUUUGGUGGUGCCAUCUCCAGCGCGGAGGGUCCACGAACGGGGAGGCUGGGAAGGGCGACUCCGACUCCGGCGUGUCCGAACCCCUGCGAGAUGGAGGGGGCUGCACUAACGGGGUUUUUCCUUGCCUUGCAGGGGCUGGCUGGCCUGGCGCCCCCAGCUCCGCACCCUCCUGCUGGACCUCGUCCUCAUCUACGUGUCCGUGCCCUUCCUCAUCCGCCUCUUCCCUGUGCUGCUCACCAAGUUUGCCUUCCUCAACUUCCUGGCGUUCCCCUACUUCGUGGACCUCCAACAGCCGGAGCUGCUGCUGAACAACACGGUGAACUUGUAUCUCACCACCGAGCCCAACGUCACCGUCGGCRUCUGGUGCGUAGCGGAGCCUCCGCGGCGUCCUCCGACACCGGCCCGCGCGGCAGCACGGGGAGCUCCUGCCCCGCGUCGAGCGGCGGCGCGGGAAAGCCGCUCGCGGGGAGCCGUGAAAAGCUCGCGUCCCCGCUCCGUCCCCGCAGGCACACGGUGCCGGGCAGCCGGGCGGCCGAGGCCCGGGGCAAGGACCGCGGCUGGUACGAGGAGGCGCUGGGCGACGCUCAUCCCGUGAUCAUCUACCUGCACGGCAAUGGAGGCACCAGGUGAGCGCCGUGCCGUGCCGUGCCGGCUGCGGCCCCGCGGCGAUGCUUCCCGGUGAGCGGCGACGCUUCCUGGCUGCUCACCCCAGCUGCACUUAAUGCAUUAAGGCUGUGUCGGGACCCCUUCCCAAAAAAAAUGCGUUAAAUGCCAGGGGAGGGAGCAUGGCCRGGGUGGGAGGAAGGGAGAAAUCCCACCCGCGGAGGGCUGAGGUCUGCUGAGAGAACGAACAAACUCGGUGCAGCGGAGCAGGGCCGCUGCAGCGGUUUCGGACUCUAUCCAGCUGUGAGCGCGGAAGAGGGAAAGUCCCCUGGAGCUAAAGGGAAGCGCGGGCUUCCCGUACGGCGUUGCCGCUGGGAAGCGUCCCCUUGCCAUGGG
rnacentral:lncRNA from 1 species